AGUUCAACAGCAUCCCGGGGCUCAUGGAGGGUACUGCCAAGCCCGAUUAUGCAACCUGUGUUAAGAUCUCCACAGAUGCUUCCAUCAAGGAGAUGAUUCCUCCUGGUGCUCUGGUGAUGCUCACCCCCCUAAUUGUCGGGACCUUCUUCGGUGUCGAGACCCUAUCUGGGGUUCUUGCCGGUGCCCUUGUUUCUGGAGUUCAGGUAUGUGGAAAGUAGCUAGCAUAAUGUUUUCAUUAUGAGAAUCUUGUGCGUAUCGUGUCGAUAAUUGUUCUUGUUUGUUAAACAGA
rnacentral:lncRNA from 1 species